AUUGAACGCUGGCGGCAGGCUUAACACAUGCAAGUCGAGCGGAGAUGAGGUGCUUGCACCUUAUCUUAGCGGCGGACGGGUGAGUAAUGCUUAGGAAUCUGCCUAUUAGUGGGGGACAACAUUCCGAAAGGAAUGCUAAUACCGCAUACGUCCUACGGGAGAAAGCAGGGGAUCUUCGGACCUUGCGCUAAUAGAUGAGCCUAAGUCGGAUUAGCUAGUUGGUGGGGUAAAGGCCUACCAAGGCGACGAUCUGUAGCGGGUCUGAGAGGAUGGUCCGCCACACUGGGACUGAGAAACGGCCCAGACUCCGACGGGAGGCAGCAGUGGGGAAUAUUGGACAAUGGGGGGAACCCUGAUCCAGCCAUGCCGCGUGUGUGAAGAAGGCCUUAUGGUUGUAAAGCACUUUAAGCGAGGAGGAGGCUACUGAGACUAAUACUCUUGGAUAGUGGACGUUACUCGCAGAAUAAGCACCGGCUAACUCUGUGCCAGCAGCAGCCGCAGUAA
rnacentral:rRNA from 1 species